GUGAGGUGGGAGGGGGGAUAGAGCGAGGAGGCAGCGGCGCGAGGAAACUCGGCGCGCACGCUGAUUGGCCCCCUCUCUGCGCGCGCGCGCGCGCGCGUCCUCCCCCCAGCUCUACUGCCUCUCUGGACGGGGGGGGAGAGGGGUGUGGAGAGAAGGCAGCAGGUAGCGAUUGGGUGGGGCCGUAGUCCUCGCUCCCGGCGUGCGCGGGACCGUACGGAGGACCCCACAUAUGCUGAAUGCUGAUUGGACGACAUGACGAGCACUUUGACCAUUUGCUGAGCGAAGCUUCGUCUUUAACAAAAUGGCGGCGGUGUGCACUGAAUCAUUACUCGAAAUUGUCAGUGUUUUUCCCACCACCACCUCNCGGGCACGCACACGCUACAUUAUUCGCGUUCUUGAUGGCUCUUCACAAACUCGAAAUAGAAAAUACAAGACAAAUGAGCCUCUCAGUGUAUUUUUCCCUGAAAGUAAAGAGGUGNAAUUAA
rnacentral:lncRNA from 1 species